UACGUAGGGUGCAAGCGUUGUCCGGAAUUAUUGGGCGUAAAGAGCUCGUAGGCGGUUUGUUGCGUCGGCUGUGAAAUCCCGAGGCUCAACCUCGGGUCUGCAGUCGAUACGAGCAAACUAGAGUGUUGCAGGGGAGACUGGAAUUCCUGGUGUAGCGGUGAAAUGACGCAGAUAUCAGGAGGAACACCGGUGGCGAAGGCGGGUCUCUGGGCAACAACUGACGCCGGAGGAGCGAAAGCGUGGGGAGCGAACAGG
rnacentral:rRNA from 1 species